rnacentral:rRNA from 1 species
GACGAACGCUGGCGGCGUGCCUGACACAUGCAAGUCGGACGGUUCUUGCACCUUCAAGCUUGCUUGCUGGUGCAAGGAUAGUGGCGGACGGGUGAGUAACGCGUGAACAUCUACCCAUUGGAGGGGGACAACCCGUCGAAAGGCGGGCUAAUACCGCGUAAGCCGCGAGGUGAGAGGCUGCCUAUUGGUGGCCGCCGAUGGAUGGGUUCGCGUCCUAUCAGCUGGUUGGUGGGGUAACGGCCUACCAAGGCGAAGACGGGUAGCCGGUCUGAGAGGAUUAUCCCCCACACUGGUACUGAGACACGGACCAGACUCCUACGGGAGGCAGCAGUGAGGAAUAUUGGUCAAUGGACGCAAGUCUGAACCAGCCAUGCCGCGUGCAGGAUGACGGCCCUAUGGGUUGUAAACUGCUUUUCCACGGGAAGAACCCUCCGACGUGUCGGAGACUGACGGUACCGUGGGAAUAAGCAUCGGCUAACUCCGUG